rnacentral:rRNA from 1 species
GUGCCAGCCGCCGCGGUAAUACGGAGGGUGCGAGCGUUACCCGGAUUUACUGGGCGUAAAGGGCGUGUAGGCGGUUUUCUAAGUCCGGGGCUAAAGACCAGGGCUCAACCCUGGGUUUGCCUUGGAUACUGGAAAGCUCGACGGCUGGAGGGGGCAGCGGAAUUUCCGGAGUAGCGGUGAAAUGCGCAGAUACCGGAAGGAACGCCAAUAGCGAAGGCAGCUGCCUGGACAGUACGUGACGCUGAGGCGCGAAAGCGUGGGGAGCAAACCGGAUUAGAAACUGGUUCACUAGAGUACUGUAGAGG